GACGAACGCUGGCGGCGUGCUUAACACAUGCAAGUCGAACGGAAAGGCCUGCUUUCCCUUGUGGUUUGCGGGUGCUCGGGUGGCGAACGGAUGAGUAACACGCGAGUGAUCUGCCCUCAACUUGGGUAUAAGCCUGGGAAACUGGGUCUAAUUACCGUUAGGACUGCAGGGUGCUGACUGUGGUGGCAAACGUUCUUUUAGUGGUUGGGGAUGAGCUCGCGGCCUAUCAGCUUGUUGGUGGGGUAAUGGCCUACCAAGGCGGCGACGGGUAGCCGGCCUGAGAGGGUGGACGGCCACAUUGGGACUGAGAUACGGCCCAGACUCCUACGGGAGGCAGCAGUGGGGAAUAUUGCACAAUGGGCGGAAGCCUGAUGCAGCGACGCCGCGUGGGGGAUGACGGCCUUCGGGUUGUAAACUCCUUUCGACCGCGAGGAAGCCACCUGGUUGGAAGGGUGGUGACGGUAGUGGUAGAAGAAGCACCGGCUAACUACGUG
rnacentral:rRNA from 1 species